rnacentral:rRNA from 1 species
GACGAACGCUGGCUGCGUGCUUAACACAUGCAAGUCGAACGGCAAGGUGCCUUUGGGUGUAUUCGAUUGGCGAACGGGUGAGUAACACGUGAUUAACCUGCCCUUGCCUUCCGGAUAACUUCAGGUAACUUUUGCUAAUACCGGUUAGUAAUCCUUGCUGCAUUGUUUGGGUUUGAAAUCUUGGGCGGUUUUGGAUGGACUUCCGUCUUAUUAGCUUGUUGUUGGUGGAGUGGGUUAUAAAGGCCUUGACGGUUAGCCGGCCUUAGAGGGCGAACGGAGACAUUGGGAAAGAGAUAAGGCCCAGAAUCAUACGGGAGGCAGCAGUGAUGAAUAUUGCACAAUGGGAGGAAGGCUGAUGCAACAACGCCGCGUGCGGGAUGAGUGAAUUCGGGUUGUAAGCCGCUUAAGGCAGGGGUGAAGAUUGUGGUGAAGGUACCUGCAGAAGAAGGACCGGCUAACUACGUG